UCCUCAACAUUCAUUUAUUAAACACUUGACUAAAUAAGAUCAACAUGCGGAAAUACCCGAAAUCGUUCUCGGUCAAAAUAAAGUUUUACCAGUGUGGCCAACGAAUCGUUAGAGCCGUUAUCGAGAUGUGUGUCCACGUUCCAUUAUUGCCUACACAGAAAGUUCCACAAAGGUAUUUUAAAGAUAUUUCUGUUGUAAGUUCUGGUCACGAGCACUAUUAAAUGCAUCUGUGGGGCCUAAACAAACGUGUGUGCAUCUACUUUCUGUUUCUAAGUUACCACUGACUGACUCCAUAAUCCCUUCUACUAAUUCGCUUGCAUUUCGUUCACAGCUUUUAUUUAAAUACUAAGUGCUUGAUAAGAACCGGUUUUGACAGAUUCGUAACCUAACCACCGGAAUUAGCGAAACAAAGUAAGCUUUCAAUCAGACCUUUGUAUUUUAUUUUUGUUUUACCAAAAGACAGCAGUCUAUGUAAAAUAAAUAAAAAGAAAUAGGACACAAAAUCUAUAUUUAAAGACAUUUUUAUCUAUGUCUACUUAAAAAAAAAUGUGUCUGACAUCAUUUCCGCUUCCUUUUAGACGCAGUAUAAAUAAACUAAAGAAAAUCCUAAUACUUCAAAAGCAUAAAAAAGAAAGAUGUAUUAAAGAUCUAUUAAAGUCUACUUCUUUUUUUUUUAUUGUGAUAGAGCAAGAGAUGAUACGUUGUAGCUUUGCCAUUUCUUUACAUUUAAAAGGAAUACAAAAUUAAACGAUUACAAUUAAUAAAACUGAGUUCCAUAUAUUUAGACGACAGAAAAACAAAAUAAAUGUAUUGUGGGGAGCUGUCGGAGAUUUUACGAUACGCAGGGUGACAAAGAAAACAAAAUGGUGGUUCAUGAGAAAGAGUGUGAA